rnacentral:rRNA from 1 species
UACGAACCGUCCAAACGUUAUUCGGAUUUAUUGGGCUUAAAGGGUAUGUAGGCGGCCCUUCAAGUCGGGUGUGAAAGCCCUCGGCUCAACCGAGGAACUGCGCCCGAUACUGUGGGGCUCGAGGGAGACAGAGGUAAGCGGAACUGAUGGUGGAGCGGUGAAAUGCGUUGAUAUCAUCAGGAACACCAGUGGCGAAAGCGGCUUACUGGGUCUCUUCUGACGCUGAGAUACGAAAGCUAGGGGAGCGAAC